rnacentral:rRNA from 1 species
GACGCAACGCGAAGAACCUUACCUGGUCUUGACAUCCUGCGAACUUGGUAGAGAUACCUUGGUGCCUUCGGGAGCGCAGUGACAGGUGCUGCAUGGCCGUCGUCAGCUCGUGUCGUGAGAUGUUGGGUUAAGUCCCGUAACGAGCGCAACCCUUGUCCUUAGUUGCCAGCGGUCCGGCCGGGAACUCUAGGGAGACUGCCGGUGACAAACCGGAGGAAGGUGGGGAUGACGUCAGGUCAUCAUGGCCCUUACGGCCAGGGCUACACACGUGCUACAAUGGGGCGCACAGAGGGCGGCAAGCGCGCGAGUGCAAGCGAAUCCCUUAAAACGCCUCGUAGUCCGGAUCGGAGUCUGCAACUCGACUCCGUG